GGACCACUAAGAUUCACCCAGGGAUCUUCAACAAGGGGUCAGGGACCCCUAGGGGGUCCUCAGAGACAAU